rnacentral:lncRNA from 1 species
AGGGAGGGCAAACACUGAACAUGGUGGUGUUGAAAGCAUAAAACUUAAUGCAGAGUGUGUGUGCGUCAACCAGCCGUGUUCAACUGCCAUAGCAGGCAUUGUACCAUCUCCACACAGGGAUAAAAACCAGUCAUGCCUUGUUUUAAAUGGCCAAGGAAGUAGUCUAGCUACUUGCAUAGGAGCCAUGAACCUGCCUUACUUAGAGCCUCAUCCCAUCCACAUGUUCAGAGCCAUUGCGGUUGCCCCUGGUGCCCUGGUCCACUGGUUCUCCAGGGCCAUGGGGAAAAGGAACCUAAACACCAGCAGAUGCAUGGAGAGGUGGGGGAAGGGGAUGAGAGGGAGCCUGAGG